AGAGUUUGAUCAUGGCUCAGAUUGAACGCUGGCGGCAGGCCUAACACAUGCAAGUCGAACGGUAACAGGAAACAGCUUGCUGUUUCGCUGACGAGUGGCGGACGGGUGAGUAAUGUCUGGGAAACUGCCUGAUGGAGGGGGAUAACUACUGGAAACGGUAGCUAAUACCGCAUAACGUCGCAAGACCAAAGAGGGGGACCCUCGGGCCUCUUGCCAUCGGAUGUGCCCAGAUGGGAUUAGCUUGUUGGUGGGGUAACGGCUCACCAAGGCGACGAUCCCUAGCUGGUCUGAGAGGAUGACCAGCCACACUGGAACUGAGACACGGUCCAGACUCCUACGGGAGGCAGCAGUGGGGAAUAUUGCACAAUGGGCGCAAGCCUGAUGCAGCCAUGCCGCGUGUAUGAAGAAGGCCUUCGGGUUGUAAAGUACUUUCAGCGGGGAGGAAGGGAGUAAAGUUAAUACCUUUGCUCAUUGACGUUACCCGCAGAAGAAGCACCGGCUAACUCCGUGCCAGCAGCCGCGGUAAUACGGAGGGUGCAAGCGUUAAUCGGAAUUACUGGGCGUAAAGCGCACGCAGGCGGUUUGUUAAGUCAGAUGUGAAAUCCCCGGGCUCAACCUGGGAACUGCAUCUGAUACUGGCAAGCUUGAGUCUCGUAGAGGGGGGUAGAAUUCCAGGUGUAGCGGUGAAAUGCGUAGAGAUCUGGAGUAAUACCGGUGGCGAAUGCGGCCCCCUGGACGAAGACUGACGCUCAGGUGCGAAAGCGUGGGGGCAAACAGGAUUAGAUACCCUGGUCGUCCACGCCGUAACGAUGUCGACUUGGAGGUUGUGCCCUUGAGGCGUGGCUUCCGGAACUAACGCGUUAAGUCGCCCGCCUGGGGCGUACGGCCGCACGGUUAAAACUCAAAUGAAUUGACGGGGGCCCGCACAAGCGGUGGAGCAUGUGGUUUAAUUCGAUGCAACGCGAAGAACCUUACCUGGUCUUGACAUCCACGGAAGUUUCAGAGAUGAGAAUGUGCCUUCGGGAACCGCGAGACAGGUGCUGCAUGGCUGUCGUCAGCUCGUGUUGUGAAAUGUUGGGUUAAGUCCCGCAACGAGCGCAACCCUUAUCCUUUGUUGCCAGCGGUCCGGCCGGGAACUCAAAGGAGACUGCCGGUGAUAAACUGGAGGAAGGUGGGGAUGACGUCAAGUCAUCAUGGCCCUUACGACCAGGGCUACACACGUGCUACAAUGGCGCAUACAAAGAGAAGCGACCUCGCGAGAGCAAGCGGACCUCAUAAAGUGCGUCGUAGUCCGGAUUGGAGUCUGCAACUCGACUCCAUGAAGUCGGAAUCGCUAGUAAUCGUGGAUCAGAAUGCCACGGUGAAUACGUUCCCGGGCCUUGUACACACCGCCCGUCACACCAUGGGAGUGGGUUGCAAAAGAAGUAGGUAGCUUAACCUUCGGGAGGGCGCUUACCACUUUGUGAUUCAUGACUGGGGUGAAGUCGAAACAAGGUA
rnacentral:rRNA from 1 species